UACAGAGGGUGCAAGCGUUGUUCGGAAUCAUUGGGCGUAAAGGGCGUGUAGGCGGUCUGUUAAGUCAUGUGUGAAAUCCCUCGGCUCAACCGGGGAACGACGCAUGAAACUGACAAGCUAGAGUACCAAAGAGGGGGGUGGAAUUCCCGGUGUAGCGGUGAAAUGCGCAGAUAUCAGGAGGAACACCGGUGGCGAAGGCGGGUAUCUGGGCCGAUACUGACGCUGAGGAGCGAAAGCGUGGGGAGCGAACAGG
rnacentral:rRNA from 1 species